UCCCUGGAGGAUUAAUGGUGAGGCCUUGGUGCUCUCACUGAUGUGGCCUGGGUUCGAUUCCCAGCCAGGGAA